AUUGAACGCUGGCGGCAUGCUUUACACAUGCAAGUCGGACGGCAGCACAGAGAAGCUUGCUUCUUGGGUGGCGAGUGGCGAACGGGUGAGUAACAUAUCGGAACGUACCGGGCAGUGGGGGAUAACUAAUCGAAAGAUUAGCUAAUACCGCAUAUUUUCUGAGGAAGAAAGCAGGGGACCAUUUGGCCUUGCGCUGUUUGAGCGGCCGAUAUCUGAUCAGCUAGUUGGUGGGGUAAAGGCCUACCAAGGCGACGAUCAGUAGCGGGUCUGAGAGGAUGAUCCGCCACACUGGGACUGAGACACGGCCCAGACUCCUACGGGAGGCAGCAGUGGGGAAUUUUGGACAAUGGGCGCAAGCCUGAUCCAGCCAUGCCGCGUGUCUGAAGAAGGCCUUCGGGUUGUAAAGG
rnacentral:rRNA from 1 species